rnacentral:lncRNA from 1 species
GGGAGCGGCCCCUGCUGACCACACGGGCAGAGUACACGGGAAGCGCGGUGUUGGGUGUGGACAGUGAUCUGAGCCUGUCCACGGCUUUGGUUGGAAAGGCUCCCACGCCCAAACCAGAAUAUUCAUGACGUGACCUUGGGCUGAGGACAGCCACCUGCCACAAGGUCCUUACAGUGGAAAGAGGGAGGCGGGAGAUUCAGAGGAGAAUGUGGAUUCAG